AGUGAACGCUGGCGGUAGGCCUAACACAUGCAAGUCGAACGGCAGCACAGUAAGAGCUUGCUCUUACGGGUGGCGAGUGGCGGACGGGUGAGGAAUACAUCGGAAUCUACUUUUUCGUGGGGGAUAACGUAGGGAAACUUACGCUAAUACCGCAUACGACCUACGGGUGAAAGCAGGGGAUCUUCGGACCUUGCGCGAUUGAAUGAGCCGAUGUCGGAUUAGCUAGUUGGCGGGGUAAAGGCCCACCAAGGCGACGAUCCGUAGCUGGUCUGAGAGGAUGAUCAGCCAAACUGGAACUGAGACACGGUCCAGACUCCUACGGGAGGCAGCAGUGGGGAAUAUUGGACAAUGGGCGCAAGCCUGAUCCAGCCAUACCGCGUGGGUGAAGAAGGCCUUCGGGUUGUAAAGCCUUUUUGUUGGGAAAGAAAAGCAGCAGGUUAAUACCCCGCUGUUCUGACGGUACCCAAAGAAUAAGCACCGGCUAACUUCGUG
rnacentral:rRNA from 1 species